rnacentral:sRNA from 1 species
GCCGUGUCAAAAGACCUUAUCCAC